rnacentral:lncRNA from 1 species
UCCAAGUUUUGCCCCAUGAUGCAGAAUAGUACGCACCACCACGGUCAAGAAUCCACUUUCGUGCCCUUGCGCAGGCAUUGUCACGACCACCAUCGGGGCCAUCUCCGAGAAUACGCAUCAUACAGUAGUUUAGGCAUGUAGUAAACAUCAUACUAGGCCCCGCUAUGUGCAGUCCCCAGCCACCAUCUUCAUUUUGAUGGUUGUAUGUGUAACGCAAGAUUUCCUUCUUGUGCUCAGCGGAGAAAAUAACAUUGAGAUAUCCUGGAAUGUAUGCAGCCAUG